GAUGAAGAACGCAGCGAAAUGCGAUAAGUAGUGUGAAUUGCAGAAUUCAGUGAAUCAUCGAAUCUUUGAACGCACAUUGCGCCCCUUGGUAUUCCAUGGGGCAUGCCUGUUCGAGCGUCAUUUGUACCUUCAAGCUCUGCUUGGUGUUGGGUGUUUGUCUCGCCUCUGCGUGUAGACUCGCCUUAAAACAAUUGGCAGCCGGCGUAUUGAUUUCGGAGCGCAGUACAUCUCGCGCUUUGCACUCAUAACGACGACGUCCAAAAGUACAUUUUUACACUCUUGACCUCGGAUCAGGUAGGGAUACCCGCUGAACUUAAGCAUAUCAAUAAGCGGGGA
rnacentral:misc_RNA from 1 species